rnacentral:rRNA from 1 species
UGCAACAUUUAGGCCACCCUUCACUCAGUGGUCUCAUUUAAUUUCAGAAGAUGAUCUUAGAAGCUAAGCAGGGUUGUGGCUGUUUAGUACAUGGACAGAAGACCACAUGGAAAUACCAGCCAUGCUUGCAA